GACGUAGGGGGCCAGCGUUGUUCGGAAUUACUGGGUGUAAAGGGGUCGUAGGCGGUGCGGCAAGUUGGGAGUGAAAUCUCUGGGCUUAACCCAGAGGCUGCUUCCAAAACUGCUGUGCUUGAGUGUGGGAGGGGCGCGUGGAAUUGCAGGUGUAGCGGUGAAAUGCGUAGAUAUCUGGAGGAACACCCGUGGUGCAGACGGCUUGCUGGACCGUGACUGACGCUGAGGCACGAAAGCGUGGGUAGCAAACAGG
rnacentral:rRNA from 1 species